rnacentral:lncRNA from 1 species
AACUCCAGCGACCCCCACCCCUAACUCCGGCGACCCCCCUGUUCUUACUCUCUCUCCUCUCUCUCUUCCAACCUCACUCCCGUUCCCUCAUCUCAGUUCUCUGCCCUACCCUCUACCCCACCCCCAUUCUCAGUGUUUUCCAGGCAGCCCCCCUUACCGAGUAAGGCAACCCCCAUAGUUUUGUGGGAGGUUGUUGUAGGUGUGAUUUUCAGGUACUAGACUUGGCGGACAAGGCGAGCUUGUGGUGUUUGGAAGUGAAAAGCGAAACAACACCUGCUGUAGUGAAAACUUGCCUUAGGUACUAGUCGCGGCGCCGAGGCCAGUUUGCAUCGUUUGGGAGUGAAGAGCUAAGCAAUACCGGCUGGGACGUGCAAGAGUUGGUAACAGUUGACCUCGGGCACAUCAAAGCCUACUUUCUGGUUUUUCCACCGGGAGUUGGUACCUCCUGCUCUCUUAUUUACCUUGUACAUCCUUUUACGUAUUCUAGCUAGCACUCCGUGUGAGAUUUACUCUGCUGUUAUCUAGUUUGCAUCUUUUGCGUAUUCCGCUAUUAGUGCGUGUGUGCGUCACUACUCUCCAUAGUCGGUUGGUGGGAUAGUGGCCGCGGCGAGGGAUGAUAGUGUAAGGUCAUGUCCUCGGGGGGUGGUUUUUCCACCGGGAGUUGGUACCUCCCGCUCUCUUAUUUACCCAGUACAUCCUUUUACGUAUUCUAGCUAGCACUCCGUGUGAAAUUUACUCUGCUGUUAUCUAGUUUGCAUCUUUUGCGUAUUCCGCUAUUAGUGCGCGUGUAUGUCACUACUCUCCAUAGUCGGUUGGAGGGAUAGUGGCCGCGGCGAGGGAUGAUAGUGUAAGGUCAU